UAUCUCAUUUCACAAAACCCAUGUCGUCCUUUUCCCGCAAACCCUAAGUCCUCUCACCAAAAUUAUUCUACGGCGAUUUCCUCUUUGCGUUCCUCACUCCUCUCGUUCCUCUUUAAUAUUUCUCCUCUUCAUUCUUUUCUCUCAAAUCUAACCAAAAACCAUCCAAGCCCUACUGAAUUUUAGAUCUCAAAUUCUUAUUCAAUCGGAAGCAAGUGUUUGAUUUGAACAUACUGAAGUAGUAUUGACGGCGUUCCCAAUGCCCUAGUUCACUACAGGCUUGAAAAUGGAAAUUUUUUAUAUUUAUGUUCCUUCAUGAUGCAGAGACAAUUGAUUCAAGGACAAGAUUCUAGAACACAAACAGAGUCGAAGAACAAGUUUGAAGGCCUUCAUUGUGUGUUUUAUAUCAUAUGUAUAAUAUCAUUGAACAAUAUACUAUUGUGUAAUAUAGUUGACUUUUUUUAUCGUUAAAGUA